rnacentral:rRNA from 1 species
YGAGGCAGCAGUGGGGAAUUUUCCGCAAUGGGCGAAAGCCUGACGGAGCAACGCCGCGUGAGGGACGAAGGCCUCUGGGCUGUAAACCUCUUUUCUCAAGGAAGAAGAUAUGACGGUACUUGAGGAAUAAGCCACGGCUAAUUCCGUGCCAGCAGCCGCGGUAAUACGGGAGUGGCAAGCGUUAUCCGGAAUUAUUGGGCGUAAAGCGUCCGCAGGCGGCUUUUCAAGUCUGCUGUUAAAGCGUGGAGCUUAACUCCAUCAUGGCAGUGGAAACUGAGAGGCUUGAGUAUGGUAGGGGCAGAGGGAAUUCCCGGUGUAGCGGUGAAAUGCGUAGAUAUCGGGAAGAACACCAGUGGCGAAGGCGCUCUGCUGGGCCAUUACUGACGCUCAUGGACGAAAGCCAGGGGAGCGAAAGGGAUUAGAUACCCCUGUAGUCUUGGCCGUAAACGAUGAACACUAGGUGUCGGGGGAAUCGACCCCUUCGGUGUCGUAGCUAACGCGUUAAGUGUUCCGCCUGGGGAGUACGCACGCAAGUGUGAAACUCAAAGGAAUUGACGGAAUCG